AGGUAGUUAUACGACUGGCGGAAGUGGAAUUAACCACAUGAAGUAUAAUCGUUGUAGAGCCGACCGUCUGGGCAGGAAGA
rnacentral:ncRNA from 1 species